rnacentral:lncRNA from 1 species
CUGAAGAAGAAGAAGAAGGUUUUAGAUUUUCAUUUGACACAUUUCUAUCCUCUUCUUCACCUUCCUUAUUGUUAUCCUCCCCAAUCUUAUUGUCUAUUAUACGUCCACUCCUUAGGGUAGUCAAAGCAUUGGCUUGUUCAUGAUGAAUUGUAUUUAAUUGAUUUUCUUGAUCCAUGUAUUGUCCCCUAGGAUUACUUAGUG